rnacentral:rRNA from 1 species
AUUUUGGACAAUGGGGGAAACCCUGAUCCAGCCAUCCCGCGUGUAUGAUGAAGGCCUUCGGGUUGUAAAGUACUUUUUGCAGAGAAGAAAAGGCAUCCCCUAAUACGGGAUGCUGCUGCCGGUAUCUGCAGAAUAAGCACCGGCUACCUACGUGCUAUCAGCCGCGUUAAUACGUAGGGUGCAAGUGUUCAACGGAAUUACUGGGCGUAAAGCGUGCGCAGGCGGUUCGGAAAGAAGGAUGUGAAAUCCCAGGGCUCAACCUUGGAACUGCAUUCUUAACUACCGAACUAGAGUAUGUCAGAGGGGGGUAGAAUUCCGCGUGUAGCAGUGAAAUGCGUAGAUAUGCGGAGGAAUACCGAUGGCGAAGGCAGCCCCCUGGGAUAAUACUGACGCUCAUGCACGAAAGCGUGGGUAGCAAACAGG